GGACCCGCACAAGCGGUGGAGCAUGUGGUUUAAUUCGAAGCAACGCGAAGAACCUUACCAGGUCUUGACAUCCUUUGAAGUUAAUAGAGAUAUUAAUGUUCUCUUCGGAGACAAAGUGACAGGUGGUGCAUGGUCGUCGUCAGCUCGUGUCGUGAGAUGUUGGGUUAAGUCCCGCAACGAGCGCAACCCUUAUCGUUAGUUGCCAGCAUUAAGUUGGGCACUCUAGCGAGACUGCCGGUGACAAACCGGAGGAAGGUGGGGAUGACGGUCAGAUCAUCAUGCCCCUUAUGACCUGGGCUACACACGUGCUACAAUGGCGUAUACAACGAGUUGCGAACCGGCGACGGCAAGCUAAUCUCUUAAAGUACGUCUCAGUUCGGAUUGCAGGCUGCAACUCGCCUGCAUGAAGUCGGAAUCGCUAGUAAUCGCGGAUCAGCAACGCCG
rnacentral:rRNA from 1 species